UUAUUUAACAUAAUUGUUUUAAUUUAUUUCCUGAUUCUUUGUUGGGUAAUACUAUUUGCAGAUUCCGUGAUUCAUGGGUUUACUCCCGUCGGACAUGCUAAUCAUUACAUGCCAUCUUUGAAAGCAGAUUCCAUUGUGAAAGUAGAUCGUUUUGAGGUUGCUAGGUGCUCCAAGUGAUUGCGAACACAAACCUAGAAAUUGGUAAACAUAGCAUAUUUGGCAGCUCCAAGCAAGAUUACAAUCAGGCAAAUUCAAGUGGAAUGACAUACCAACAACUGAAACUGCCUCUGUCAUGGAUAGCUCUCUCCCAAGAAUUGCAUUGACUAUGGUUUCUGGGAAGAAAAAGAUCUUGCUCCUGAAAAAAAACCGUGACAACCCUGUUGUAAGAUUUUAGUUUGUGCAGAACAAAAAACCUUGAUUUAUUUUCUAUUUAGUAUAGUGAUAGUUGUUGACAAUCAUUAGUUAUUUGCCAAUAUGUUUUUUAUGCGGCAUUUCAGAACUCUCCAUUCCAAGCGGAAUAGCAGAUGAAAGCUAAUUUUUUUGGAAGCUCAUCGACUUCAAGACAGAAUCAGAAGAUAGAUGUUGGUAGGAGGUUAAUCAAGGGAAUAUUUCAGAGAAGUGAGACGGCCUAGCCAGACUUCAUCUUUUGUACAGCCUGAGCAAAGAGUGGAACCCACAAAACACGAGAGAAGAAAAAACAAAACACGAAAUUAACAUAUUCAGAUCUUCUCUCUUGCAUGUCUAACAUCUGGCGCCGACGAAACUCAACACCCACGGCAGACGAAGCUGAUGCAAGUAAACCUCUCAUCAAUCAUGCUUAAAAUCAAUCUACGCUUUUCAAUCUCACAAACUAAGAAACAAUUUUACCUACAUGAAUCGGGAAAUUAGUGCCCACAUUCCCGACAUAGAGAAAAAAAGGAGUUGAAAUCCUAACAGUUUUUUCAGUAUUAGACUAAACCACAGAUUCAAGGCCCAGUUAUUUUGAAACCCUAACAUUUUAAAUCUAAAUUUAUUAUCUUUUUCCAUGCACUAUUUGAUUUAUAUACAAACAACUACCUAAGUAAACACUAACAAGUUCCAUCACCCUCAACUUUGAACAUAUAAGAUAUAAAAAUAUCAACAUAUGACUUCAUCGUUCAUUCUUAUAUCAAACUCAUCAACUUAUGUAAUAUCCAAAGUCCCAUCAAUCACAUUAUAGACAAAAAACAAUAAAAUUCCGUAAACAAAACUAUACAAUACACCUAUAAUGUAGCCGACUCCGCGCUUGCGCGGGGACUAUGCACCUAGUGUAUAUAAAAACCCAAUCCAAACCCAUACCCAAUAGUUUUAUGUCAAUGAACGUUAGUUUUUAAUCUACUAAUCAAACUCCUAUAGGCUUUCUUUGGUUUAUCUUGUUAAUCAAUUUUUUUUUAAUCUCCAUUAUCAGUUUUGGCCUUUUAGGUAGUACAAAUAUUGUUUCCUAAACAACAAGAUAACUCAAAGUAUGUACACGGAGUUGGUUGAGAACCAAUUAAACAUAUUAACCCAUCGAAAAGAUUUUAGAAGUAUACGUUUGGAGUGUUUUGUUUUCAGUUUAUCACUAACCAACUAAUAAAUGACUAUUAAAAAUUUAGUAUGUAGUACCUAAUUAGUGAUAGAUUAAGGACCUAAUCAUAAUCAUAAGUGGAGUCAACUAUUCCAAAAGCACUAUUUCUAUAUGUGGUUCAACAAAACUGACUAUAGUACAAUAAUACCAAAGAGAUCCAUCAGUACAAUAAUCACAAAGAGAUUUGAUAGAACGAUGUCCACUAGUUGUACAAUCAUAAGGUGAUUAUUCCACAUAGAAAACAUGUUUCAGAGACUGAAUAAUAACAUUCCUUUCAUUAAUCUUAUAAAAUCAUUUGAGUAAUACAAAAGAGAAGAUGAUGCAGAGACAGCAGAUGAGAGAUGUCACGUCCCCUCAAAACACACAAAUAAUAAAACAAAAUAAAAAAAUCACAAACCCCAAAGAAAAAACAUUUUUUUAAAACUUCUGUAAUUUUACAAUUUUUUAAAAACAUUUUCUUUUUUUUUUAACAUAAGAAAAGAAAAUGGUCGAGUUUCUUCUUUCUUCUCAAUUGCCUUUGAAAGUGAGUUUGUUUCCAUCAUGACAUUUUUCAAUAUAUUCCCAUGCGCAAAGUAGAGAAUAUGGACAGAUGUUCUGCAGCUUUUCUUAUGGGAUGCUGCAGCGGUUUGCCAUAUAGAGGAGGCAGAUAUGUACCAAAAAGUGUUCCGAUAUCUUUCCUGCUAGCCGGUUCCCCUGUCAUUGUGGCAACCUUGUGGGAUGUAACAGAAGAUAUUAGCCAGUUUGUGAAGGCAAUGUUAGAAAGUUUCUGGAGAGAGAGGAGUGAUGAUGUUAAACCAGAGAGAAUUGGGUCGCUCAUGGCUGAUGCACGUUAUGCCUGCGCUCAGCAAUUCUUGACAGGGGCUGCCAUCGUGUGUUUUGGUGUCCCAACUGCUAUCACAACAAAGAGAAAGAAAAAAAAAUACUUGAAGCCAAUGUUUGAAAUUUGUUUUGAUAUACUAGAAUGAGUUUACAAGUAUUAAGCUGCGUUAAGAGAGAAAGAGUUAAGGCAGCCUCUAAACCAUAAUGCUUAACUCUCUACAUUGUGAAUAUUGUUUAGA